rnacentral:lncRNA from 1 species
UUUAAUUUCUUCAAAUAUAAAAAAGAAGAUGUGGUAUGAUCGCCAAUGAGACAACUAUCUACAAGAGACCAAAUGACACAGUAAUUAACCACUAUAGGUCACUGUACGACCUUCAACAAUGAGCAAGGCCCAUACCGCAUAGUCAGCUAUAAAAGGCCCUGAAAUGGCAAAUGUAAAACAGUUCAAACGAGGAAACUAAUGGCCUAAUUUAUGUAAUUUUUUUUUAUGUAAACCAACUAAUUUUCACAAGUGAUUUAUUUUAUACUUAUCUAAGCAAGAUCAGCACACUUAAUAAGAUAGUUUUUGAAAGAUAAAUAUUUAUCUUGGUAGCAUUUCCUCAAGGUCAGCAGUAGUAUUACUACCGUAGAUAUUUAUUAGAGAUUUAUCUAGGUACCCUCGUUUUAAGAUCAGCACAGUUAAUAAGAUAGUUUUUAGCAAUAAAUAUUUAACUUUGUAGCAUUUCUUCAAGGUCAUCAACAGUAUAACUAGAUAGUUUUAGAGAUAAAUGUUUAUCCAGGUACAACCCUUUUAAGAUCAGCACAGUUAAUAAGAUGAAUUUUAGAGAUAAAUAUUUAUCUUGGUAGCAUUUCUUCAAGGUCAGCAACAGUAUAAGCAACAACAGCCCAAACUGCUGAACAGAGAUUCAUGGCCACAGGAUCCUGUACUGUCA